ACGCACCCCUGCUCAGCAAGAACGGGGCGGGUAGCGCUUCUCUCCCCGUCAUCCAUUCGGCCAACGGACUUCUCCUCCGAUUUUCCUCACUGAGCAGAGGUCAACCCCAGCCACCGCCACCGCCUCCGCCCCGAAACAGGGCCCGGGGCCGCGGCCCCGCUUCGGAUCAAGGCACGCAGUCCGGCCCGGUCGGUGUGGCUGCUGAUCGCGCAGCACGCAUGCGAGGCAGAGGGACGAGGCAAGGGCAAGAGGAGCCCGUGAGGCGCACGGCCCGGUUCGGGGGCAGGACGGCUCGUCCUCGACGACCAGGACCGAGCCGCGGUGCAACACGCGGGUAGGUGCACCGUGUCGUUGUGUGCGUGUAUAUAUACACACAUACAUGUAUAUAGGUGAUGACGUGUUCGUGGCAGGAAUGACACGCUAAUCGAACAAAGGUGCGUGAUGGUCCUGAGGCGGGGCGUGCUUUCCGUUCCUUCUCGGAUGCACACCACGGGCCCAUUUCAUUAUCCGCGGGUUGCAUAGCUUUCCACGUGAACGAACUCGUGACGGUGUCCGGGUCUUUCGCGUCGCGCUGAGUCUAGCUUCCUCUAGUCGUUUCGGCGUACCAUGACGUGUAGUUGCCGUCUCUUGUGUAUCGCCUCACCGCUUCGUCUGCCUGUGUGCCGUGCGUGACCCGGACUCACCUAUGCGCCCUCUCGUGUGUCGGCU
rnacentral:misc_RNA from 1 species